UACGGAGGGGGUUAGCGUUGUUCGGAAUUACUGGGCGUAAAGCGCGCGUAGGCGGACCAGAAAGUUGGGGGUGAAAUCCCGGGGCUCAACCCCGGAACGGCCUCCAAAACUCCUGGUCUUGAGUUCGAGAGAGGUAAGUGGAAUUCCGAGUGUAGAGGUGAAAUUCGUAGAUAUUCGGAGGAACACCAGUGGCGAAGGCGGCUCACUGGCUCGAUACUGACGCUGAGGUGCGAAAGUGUGGGGAGCAAACAGG
rnacentral:rRNA from 1 species